rnacentral:tRNA from 1 species
UAAAUGGAAGCCAAAACAGAGGCAUCUAGCUGUUAAUUAGGAGAUUGUAGGUUGCUACUACCCAUUUAG